UUGCCGCGUUUGACAUCAGUGAGGAGAAAAGCGCGCCAUGCCUCAGUUAUCGGGCAACUGAUCACAUACAUCGCAUAUCGCAAAGGUGCUGGGCGCAGAAGUGUAUAUUGUGAAAGGUUGAUUGGAGGUCUUGGAGUGUCCACUAGAUGGUGAAAGAUCCUUGAGGAAUGCUAGAUGGAGACCGUGAGAAGUCAGCCCAUGCAGGAAGACACUUUCCUCAAAAUCCACAAACAGAUGUCCUCUAUGUGUCUCAAAUCAAGGU